rnacentral:lncRNA from 1 species
UCCCUCACGUCAUUGUGGAAAAGCAUUGAGAGGCGGAAGCAGAGGGAGCUGAAUGUUUCUACUACUUUUCAGGUAAGACUAACUGAUAAACCUAUAAAAGAAGAGAAUAAAUUUAUUUUUGCUUUUAAUUGCUAAUGAUUUCUUAGCUAUAUGAAAACGUGGGGAGGAGA